rnacentral:rRNA from 1 species
CAUCAGGAGGUUAGUGCAAUGGCAUAAGCCAGCUUGACUGCGAGCGUGACGGCGCGAGCAGGUGCGAAAGCAGGUCAUAGUGAUCCGGUGGUUCUGAAUGGAAGGGCCAUCGCUCAACGGAUAAAAGGUACUCCGGGGAUAACAGGCUGAUACCGCCCAAGAGUUCAUAUCGACGGCGGUGUUUGGCACCUCGAUGUCGGCUCAUCACAUCCUGGGGCUGAAGUAGGUCCCAAGGGUAUGGCUGUUCGCCAUUUAAAGUGGUACGCGAGCUGGGUUUAGAACGUCGUGAGACAGUUCGGUCCCUAUCUGCCGUGGGCGCUGGAGAACUGAGGGGGGCUGCUCCUAGUACGAGAGGACCGGAGUGGACGCAUCACUGGUGUUCGGGUUGUCAUGCCAAUGGCACUGCCCGGUAGCUAAAUGCGGAAGAGAUAAGUGCUGAAAGCAUCUAAGCACGAAACUUGCCCCGAGAUGAGUUCUCCCUGACUCCUUGAGAGUCCUGAAGGAACGUUGAAGACGACGACGUUGAUAGGCCGGGUGUGUAAGCGCAGCGAUGCGUUGAGCUAACCGGUACUAAUGAACCGUGAGGCUUAACCUU